UUAUUUGGCUUUCGAUCAUUUAAAAAAUUCUUCAUUUCUUAAAGAUUUAUCCCCCUCGACAUCCUAGGCCCAAGUGACCAUCUACUUCAACCUCUCAAGUAGCUGGGACCACAGGUGCGCACCACCAUGACCAGUUAAUUUUUCCUAUUUUUUGUAGAAAUAGGGUCUCGCUUUGUUGCCUAGGCUGGUCUCAAACUCCUGGGCUCAAGCAAUCCUUCCACGUCGGCCUCCCAAAGUGAGACGGGGUUUCGCUCUUGUUGCCCAGGCUGUAGGGCAAUGGUGCAAUCUCACUGCAACCUCUGCCUCCUGGGUUCAAGCAGCCUCCCAGGUAGCUGGGAUUACAGGCGUGUGCCACCAUGCCCAGCUAAUUUUGUAUUUCUUUACUAGAGAUGGGGUUUCACCAUGUUGGUCAGGCUGGUCUUGAACUCCUGACCUCAAGUGAUCCACCUGCCUUGGCCUCCCAAAGUGCCAGAAUUACAGGCAUCAGCCACUGUGGCUGGCACCCCACCUCCCAUUUUAUUUUUUCUUUAGCAGAGACGAGGUCUUGCUAUGUUGCUCAGGCUGGUCUUAAACUCCUGAGUUCUCCCACCUCAGCCUCCAAAAGUGCUGGGAUUACAGGCGUCAGCUACCAUGCCUAUCCACAUUUUGUUUUUUUGUUUUGGUUUGGUUUGGGUAUGUCACUUUUUGAUAUUAGGUGAUCCAAAAUAAUUUAUCUUGGUAUGCAAGAUGUUCAAGGAACAAACAUCUACAAUAAGGUACCAAAGUUUUGAAUUAUUUAUCUGUGUAUAUGUAUGUAUACCCACACAGACCAUUAUGAGGCAUUUUAGAAAUCACUUUCUCACAUGCAUUCCAAUAUAAUUUCCUGAGAGAGAAAGUCUCACUCUGUCACCCAGGUGGAAGUACAGUGGUGCACUCUCGGCUUGCUUCCCAGGCUCAAGUGAUUCUCAUGCCUCAGCCGCCCAACUACCUGGGACUACAGGCGUGCGCCACCAUGCCUGGAUAAUUUUUGUAUUUUUUAGUAGAGACGGGGUUUCACCAUGUUGGCCAGGCUGUUCUCGAACUCCUGACCUCAGGUGCUAGGAUUAUAGGCGUGAGCCACCACGCCCGGACUAACAUGGAGUUUUUUAACUUUUGUUUUUGCCAAGGAUCUUGCUCUGUCACCCAGGCUGGAGUACAGUAGCACCAUCACUGCUCACUGUAGCCUCGACCUGCUGGGCUCAAGUGAUCCUCCCAUCUCAGCCUCCUGAGUAGGGGACUACACACAGGCACCACCAUGAUCCGGUAAGGUAUCACCAGUCUGUGGGUACAAAAGGAGAGUAACAUGAACGAUUCAAAUUCCACUGGCUCUUGUUCCCAUGGAUUCACAGAAGUUCAGCCCCAUUUCAAAACUUCACAUUUGCUUCUGGGAAGCCCAUUCUGGAAAGUUUCUCUGUGGCCCUCUCCAGAAGGCAGCGCGACUUCCACCCAGCAACACAAGUCUCUGCAGCACCUGCCCCAGCAGCGCCAGCUGAGCCCCGGAAGCUGGGAAGGCUUAAGCUGACUCUUCUGCUGCACAUAGCAAGUUUUUGUUUUUUUUUAAAGGUAAUUUCCCAGUGGAAUCCUCGAGAUUUCUUCACGUUUUUGGAAAAAUGAGUUACAUUUUAGAUUGUUUUCCUUUUUGGAAUUUAAUGGUAUACAUUAUAUUACAUAGCUAUGUUGAGCUCUAUUUCUAUUACACUAAAAAGUAGGCUAAUUGUCUUAACUUUCAUCAGUAAUGACAUUAAAUGUGUGAAGAUUAUACUUGGAAUAAAGCACUUGGAUUCAUUCAUUUCUUCAGUAAAUAUUUAUUGAGCACUAGUAUGUUCCAACGAGUGUCUGUCUACAUUCUGGGGACAAGUGAUAACUAAAUCCCUGUCCUCGUGGAGAGUUAACAAUCAACAAACUAACAAACAUUUAAUUUAUGUCAUCAACUCAUUUCCACAAAUAUAACAACAUCUUGACUUCAAGUUUCCUGAGUUUCUGGUCUAAAGAAUUGCUACCUUCAAGAGCUCAAAUCAUUUGUUGGGGAGAGAGGCCUGUGAUAUAUUUUCUCCUUUACAAUGAAAGUAGCUGUAAAAAGAGGAAGAGAAAUUCUGAGGGUAAAGAUAAAAAAUGUUGAAAUCUUCUUUCUGGAUUUCAGAUUGAGUCUCUUGCCCUAAUUGAUGCAAUUUACACUCCAUGCAUCUCCUUCCCUGGACCUUCUCCAGUUCUUGGGGACUACAGAUGAACUUACUUUUAAUGCAUUUUAUGGCAUUUGGAGGCCCUCCAGUGGACAAAUACUAUACCUGAAAAAAAUCCUUUUGCUGUGCUAAAGUGUUCAGGUGUGAAGUGUACUCAUGUUUGCAAAUCACUUUGAAAUAUAUAAACAAAAAUGAAUUAAUGGAUGAAUAGAGUGAUGCAUAGAUCAUUAGACAUGUGAUAAAAAUAACUGUUAAUUGUAGAAUCUAGAUGAUGAGUAUAUUAUAUGAUAUGGCCCACUGUAUAAUUCUUUCAACUUUUCUGUUUGAAUGUUUGAUAAUAAAAUAUUGAAUAAAAAUCUUUUUGCUAAAG
rnacentral:lncRNA from 10 species